CUGGGGGACAACAGUUAGAAAUGACUGCUAAUACCGCAUAAGCGCACAGGACCGCAUGGUCCGGUGUGAAAAACUCCGGUGGUACAGGAUGGACCCGCGUCUGAUUAGGUAGUUGGCGGGGUAACGGCCCACCAAGCCGACGAUCAGUAGCCGACCUGAGAGGGUGACCGGCCACAUUGGGACUGAGACACGGCCCAAACUCCUACGGGAGGCAGCAGUGGGGAAUAUUGCACAAUGGGGGAAACCCUGAUGCAGCGACGCCGCGUGAGUGAAGAAGUAUUUCGGUAUGUAAAGCUCUAUCAGCAGGGAAGAAAAUGACGGUACCUGACUAAGAAGCCCCGGCUAACUACGUGCCAGCAGCCGCGGUAAUACGUAGGGGGCAAGCGUUAUCCGGAUUUACUGGGUGUAAAGGGAGCGUAGACGGCAGAGCAAGUCUGAAGUGAAAGCCC
rnacentral:rRNA from 1 species